rnacentral:lncRNA from 1 species
UAUGGUGCUAGACAAGGAGCUGAGAGUUUUACCUCUUGAUGGGCAGGCAGCAGAAGGGGACUGUGUCACACUUGCGUGUAGCCGGAGCAUAUUAUAAAAAAAAAAAAUCCUCCACUCGCGAGGCAGAGGCAGGCGGAUUUCUGAAUUUGAGGCCAGCCUGGUCUACAAAGUGAGUUCCAGGACAGCCAGGGCUAUACAGAGAAACCCUGUCUCCAAAAACAAACAAAACCCUCAAUGGCUGCCCGGCGGUGGUGGUGCACGCCUUUAAUCCCAGCACUCGGGAGGCAGAGGCAGGUGGAUUUCUGCGCUUGAGGCCAGCCUGGUCUACAGAGUGAGUUCCAGGACAGUCGGGGCUACAUAGAGAAACCCUGUCUCAAAAAAGCCAAAAAACCAAAACAAAACAAUCUCAAAGGCUGCCUCCACAGUGACACACUUCCUUUAACAAGGCCACCCCUCCUAAUAGUGUUACUCUGUCUGGGCUAAGCAUCCAAACACACAAGUCUAUGGGCGCCAAACCUAUUCAAACCACCACAAAGACUGUCUCAAAAAGACAGACAAAUAGGUCUGUUACUAAAUUCAAAACAGACUUGCUUAUCCAUAACAUAUAGAUAUCCUCAGUGUUUCUUGGGUUUUUAAGUAUCCCAGUAUUAUACUUUCUUGAUCUAACUUUCCACUUUAGUUUGUCAUAUAGAAUGUAGAAUUUAAAUGUCUGUCAAUUGUAUUUUUAAUUGAUUUAGCAUGUUUUUUUUAUAAUAGGCAAUUUGCUCGACAGCAGGCUGAUAAAAAAGAAGAGUGCAAAGAAGGUAAGUUGUGCUAAUGGCAUUUCACCUUUGUAAAGCAUGCAGUUCAUAAUAUUUAUAGGCUCAUUGAAGCACGUGCAAAAAACUGUGUACUUUGUUAGACUUGACAUAGUAUGUAAAAGAAGCCAUCAUAUACUAAUUUCAGGAAAAUAGCCUUUACCCCUAAAAGUUUCUUCAAGUUCCUGUUAUGGUUUGGGUAAGAGUGGCCCCUGUAGGCUCAUAUAUUUGAAUUUAAAGUACCAAGGAAGUGGAACUCUGGUGGAAUUAGAAGGGUUAGGAAGUGUGGCCUUGAUGAAUAAAGUGUGAUGCUGAGGGUAGACUUUGAGGUUCAAAAGCCCAACCAGGCCUAGUGCAUCUCAUUCUCUUCCCCUACAGAGCAGGAUCUUGUUCUUAGAUACUGUAACUACCACCAUGUAUGUCACUGUGCUCCCCACCAUAAUGAUAGAGGACUAAAUCUCUGAAACUAGAGUUGUCUUAGUCCUGGUAUCCCUUCACGGUAAUACAACAGUGACUAAGACACUGUCAUAUAAUCUAUCUUGGUUCUUCUAGUUCCUGUCUUGCCCUCAGAUUCCAAAGUAACUACCAGUCUGUUCUCUUUUCCUAGACCAGGUUUUCUCCAUGUAGCCCUAACUGUCCUGGAACUCCCUCUGUAGAGUAAGCAGAUCCACCUGCACCUGCUUCCCAAGUGCUGGGGUUAGAGGUGUGCACCACUGCCGCCCCUUGACUAGUUUUCUGUUGCUGUAGAUUAGUUUGUAUUACUUAGAGAUCAUUCCGGAUCUCUGAACUUAGCACUCGAUGGUUUUUUCAAUGUAGGAUGCUCUGUUUGCAUGUACACCUGCAUGCCAGAAGAGGACAUCAGAUCCUUUAUACAUGGUUGUGAGCCACCAUGUAGCUGCUGGGAAUUGAAUUUAUUAGACCUCUGGAAGAGCAGUCAGUGUUCUCAGCAGCCUCUGAGCAGCCCUCAGACUGAUCUUUUAACUCAGGACUGCCUGAGCUUCUUGAGGUCAGGGAUUGCAGGCAUUCCACAGCACCUGCCUUUAUCUCUUCAUCUUUCAAUAGACUUGAGCUGUUAUUGAUUGUGAGCUAUUAAAACUGCUUUAAGCCGGGUAGUGGUGGUCCAAGCCUUUAAUCCCCCACUUGGGAUCCACCGCACUGGCAGGUGGAUUUCUGAGUUCAAGGUCAGCCUGAUCUACAGAGUGAGUUCCAGGAUAACCAGGGCUACAAAGAGAAACCCUGUCUCGAAAAAC